GAAAAAGAAAAAGAAAAAAAAACCAAAAAAUAUAUUUGCGGUCUUCCUAAAAUAAUAUAAUGGUAGCACUAGCGUAAGCCUGCAGGACGAGGGUACCCAUUCCGCACGGCAAUUUACAUCCUUAGAAAGAAAGCACUAAGUUCACUGAUAAUCGCAUGGCUAUGGGUUCCUGUCCGUGGCUUUGGUUUUCCGACAUGAGUGCUAAUUAACUCUUGCAUAGAAAACAAACAGACGGUGUACGUGUUGUGAACACAAGUAAAUUCUGCUUAUAUUAUUCCGUUCCGGUGUAGUGUGAACGUAGAAUACAAAACUGUCCACAGUCCGCAAGGAAGUUGACCGUCCAUGGAAAUGGGUUCCCAUAACAUUAAGGUAUUUCGAUUUUUGUACUAGAAAAUACAUGCAUGCAGAAACCCUCGCCUUACUGACAAAACAUUAUGUUUUCUGAAUAUUAUGAAGAAUUGAAAGUAGUUGUCAUGGUAACACGAUAAUUUUAAGAAUAGUUUUAAACCUGGUUUUAAAAUUGAAAAAUCCCCCCAAAAUAUCACU